GACGGUAAGGCCUCUUCGGAGGUACACGAGUGGCGAACGGGUGAGUAACACGUGAGCAACCUACCCUUGACUCCGGGAUAACAGUUGGAAACAGCUGCUAAUACCGGAUACGACCUCUUGCGACAUCGCACGGAGGUGGAAAGCUCCGGCGGUCAAGGAUGGGCUCGCGGCCUAUCAGCUAGUUGGUGGGGUAACGGCCUACCAAGGCUUCGACGGGUAGCCGGCCUGAGAGGGCGACCGGCCACACUGGGACUGAGAUACGGCCCAGACUCCUACGGGAGGCAGCAGUGGGGAAUAUUGCACAAUGGGCGAAAGCCUGAUGCAGCAACGCCGCGUGCGGGAUGACGGCCUUCGGGUUGUAAACCGCUUUCAGCUCCGACGAAGCGCAAGUGACGGUAGGAGCAGAAGAAGGACCGGCCAACUACGUGCCAGCAGCCGCGGUGAUACGUAGGGUCCGAGCGUUGUCCGGAAUUAUUGGGCGUAAAGGGCUUGUAGGCGGUCUGUCGCGUCGGAAGUGAAAACUCAGGGCUUAACCCUGAGCCUGCUUCCGAUACGGGCAGACUAGAGGAAUGCAGGGGAGAAUGGAAUUCCUGGUGGAGCGGUGGAAUGCGCAGAUAUCAGGAGGAACACCAGUGGCGAAGGCGGUUCUCUGGGCAUUUCCUGACGCUGAGAAGCGAAAGCGUGGGGAGCAAACAGGCUUAGAUACCCUGGUAGUCCACGCCGUAAACGGUGGGCACUAGGUGUGGGACUCAUUCCACGAGUUCCGUGCCGUAGCUAACGCAUUAAGUGCCCCGCCUGGGGAGUACGGCCGCAAGGCUAAAACUCAAAGGAAUUGACGGGGGCCCGCACAAGCGGCGGAGCAUGCGGAUUAAUUCGAUGCAACGCGAAGAACCUUACC
rnacentral:rRNA from 1 species